rnacentral:rRNA from 1 species
AUUGAACGCUGGCGGCAUGCCUUACACAUGCAAGUCGAACGGUAACAGGUUAAGCUGACGAGUGGCGAACGGGUGAGUCAUGUAUCGGAACGUGCCCAGUCGUGGGGGAUAACUGCUCGAAAGAGCAGCUAAUACCGCAUACGACCUGAGGGUGAAAGCGGGGGAUCGCAAGACCUCGCGCGAUUGGAGCGGCCGAUAUCAGAUUAGGUAGUUGGUGAGGUAAAGGCUCACCAAGCCGACGAUCUGUAGCUGGUCUGAGAGGACGACCAGCCACACUGGGACUGAGACACGGCCCAGACUCCUACGGGAGGCAGCAGUGGGGAAUGUUGGACAAUGGGCGCAAGCCUGAUCCAGCCAUGCCGCGUGCGGGAAGAAGGCCUUCGGGUUGUAAACCGCUUUUGUCAGGGAAGAAAAGGUUCUGGCUAAUACCUGGGACUCAUGACGGUACCUGAAGAAUAAGCACCGGCUAACUACGUG